rnacentral:lncRNA from 10 species
CCGGGAGUGCAGCCUCUGCCCGGCCGCCACCCCGUCUGGGAAGUGAGGAGCGUCUCUGCCUGGCCACCCAUCGUCUGGGACGUGAGGAGCCCCUCUGCCUGGCUGCCCAGUCUGGAAAGUGAGGAGCGCUUCUUCCCGGCCGCCAUCCCAUCUAGGAAGUGAGGAGUGCCUCUUCCCGGCCACCAUCCCAUCUAGGAAGUGAGGAGCGUCUCUGCCCGCCGCCCAUUGUCUGAGAUGUGGGGAGCGCCUCUGCCCCGCCGCCCCGUCUGGGAUGUGAGGAGCGCCUCUGCCCGGCCGCGACCCCGUCUGGGAGGUGAGGAGACCCUCCGCCCGGCAACCGCCCCGUCUGAGAAGUGAGGAGCCCCUCCGCCCGGCAGCCGCCCCGUCUGAGAAGUGAAGAGCCCCUCCGCCCGGCAGCCACCCCGUUUGGGAGGGGACAUUUGGACACAGACACAGACAUGCUCAGAGGGAAGACUGCAUGAAGAGACUAGGAAAAUGCCAUUUGGAGGUAGAGGAUUGAGUGAUACAUCUACAAGCCAAGUGUUGCCAAGAUUGCCAGCAAACCACCAGAAGCCAGGCAAGGGGCAUGGAACAGAUAUCCUCCUUCACAGCCCUCACAAAGAACCAACCCCACUGACACCUGGAUUUUGGACAUCUAGCCUCCCAAACUGUGAGACAAUAAAUGUCUGCUAUUUUAAGCUGCUCUGUUUGUGGCUUUGUUAUAUACUUUGUUAUGGGAGCCCUAGGAACUAACAUAGAGGCUACUAAACAGUGCAGUCUAAAGCGAUGAGAGAUUGAACAAAAACACUGACAGUGGGGAGUUGAGAAAAAGUCACAAAUAUGAAAAAUAUCACUGAGGUAAAAGCAGCAAUGUUUAGUGAUUGGCUGAAUACGGCAAAGGAGAAAAAGGAGUCCAAGAUGGAUGAAGCUCUUAUUCUACCUUAAUCCAUCAAUGUGGUGUCAAAACUAUCUUGGUGUCCUCAUUAGAUUGUUCUUGAGGCCAGGGACCUUAUAAAAAUUCCCAUGCCUUUUCCCCUGGCUAAAUUUAAAACUUUCUUUGGACUGGAGUCCUCAGUUUUCAUUCUAUUGGCUUAUAACUUCCUUCUCCUUCCCCUUCCCCUCGUCCUCCUCCUCCUCUUCCUCCUCCUCCUCCUCCUCCUCCU